rnacentral:piRNA from 1 species
UAGAAAUGAAGCCUUCAGAUAGAUGGAUG